rnacentral:rRNA from 1 species
GAGUUUGAUCCUGGCUCAGGAUGAACGCUAGCGGAACGCCUAACACAUGCAAGUCGAACGAGAGUUAUUUUGUAGCAAUACAAGAUAAUAAAAGUGGCAAACGAGCGAGUAACACGUACUUAACCUGCCCAGAAGUUGAGGCCAACUACAGAGAUGUAGCUAAUCCUCAAUAGUAUCUAAGUGACGAAAUUAGCUUAGAUUAAAGAUUUAUCGCUUUUGGAGGGGGGUGCGUCCUAUCAGGUUGUUGGUGAGGUAAUGGCUCACCAAGCCUAUGACGGGUAGCCGGUCUGAGAUGAUGUCCGGCCGCGAUGGGACUGAGAUACGGCCCAUACUCCUACGGGAGGCAGCAGUGGGGAACCUUGCACAAUGGGCGAAAGCCUGAUGCAGCGAUUCCGCGUGGAGGAUGACGCAUUACGGUGUGUAAACUCCUUUUCUGGUGGAAGACGAAUGACGGUACACCAGGAAUAAGGGACGGCUAACUACGUGCCAGCAGCCGCGGUAAUACGUAGGUCCCAAGCGUUAUCCGGAUUUACUGGGCGUAAAGCGUCUGUAGCCUGAUAUGUAAGUCUGUUUUCAAAUACCUGGACUCAAUCGAGGGAAGGGGAUAGAUACUGCAUAUCUAGAGAUAUUUGGGGGUUAGUGGAAUUUCCGGUGGAGCGGUGAAAUGCGUUGAUAUCGGAAAGAACGCCAAAAGCGAAAGCAGCUGACUACAAUACAUCUGACGGUGAGAGACGAAAGUUUGGGUAGCAAACGGGAUUAGAUACCCCGGUAGUCCAAACCUUAAAUUAUGCUUGCUAGGUGUUUAGAUCCUUCGGGAUUUGAGUGCCGUAAUCUAACGAGUUAAGCAAGCCGCCUGGGUAGUAUAUU